rnacentral:rRNA from 1 species
UACGUAGGGCGCAAGCGUUAUCCGGAAUUAUUGGGCGUAAAGAGCUCGUAGGCGGUUUGUCGCGUCUGCCGUGAAAGUCCGGGGCUCAACUCCGGAUCUGCGGUGGGUACGGGCAGACUAGAGUGAUGUAGGGGAGACUGGAAUUCCUGGUGUAGCGGUGAAAUGCGCAGAUAUCAGGAGGAACACCAAUAGCGAAGGCAGCUCGCUGGGACGUUACUGACACUGAGGAGCGAAAGCGUGGGGAGCGAACAGG